AUUGAACGCUGGCGGCAUGCUUUACACAUGCAAGUCGAACGGCAGCAUAGGUGCUUGCACCUGAUGGCGAGUGGCGAACGGGUGAGUAAUAUAUCGGAACAUGUCCGGAAGUGGGGGAUAACGUAGCGAAAGUUACGCUAAUACCGCAUAUGCCCUGAGGGGGAAAGGGGGGGAUCGCAAGACCUCUCGCUUUCGGAGUGGCCGAUAUCGGAUUAGCUAGUAGGUGAGGUAAAGGCUCACCUAGGCGACGAUCCGUAGCUGGUCUGAGAGGACGACCAGCCACACUGGGACUGAGACACGGCCCAGACCCUACGGGAGGCAGCAGUGGGGAAUUUUGGACAAUGGGCGCAAGCCUGAUCCAGCCAUGCCGCGUGAGUGAAGAAGGCCUUCGGGUUGUAAAGCUCUUUCAGCCGGAAAGAAAUCGUACUUAUUAAUACCCUGUAUGGAUGACGGUACCGGAAUAAGAAGCACCGGCUAACUACGUGCCAGCCGCCGCAGUAA
rnacentral:rRNA from 1 species